CUCUGUCACCAGGCUGGAAUGCAAUGGCACGAACUUGGCUUACUGCAACCUCCGACUCCAGGGUUCAAGAGAUUCUCCUGCCUCAGUCUCCCGAAGAAGAACCAAAGAUGAUACCUGGAAAGCAGAUGACCUCAGAAAACAUCUCUGGGCCAUACAGUCAGGUGGUUCCAAGGAAGAAAGAAAGCACAGAGAGAAGAAGCUGCGUAAGGAGUCUGAGAUGGACCUUCCUGAACAUAAGGAGCCGAGGUGCAGGGAUCCCGACCAGGAUGCCAGGAGCAGAGACAGGGUGGCCGAAGUCCACACCGCUAAGGAGAGUCCUCGUGGGGAGAGGGACAGAGACAGACAGAGGGAGAGGAGAAGAGACGCAAAAGACCGGGAGAAAGAAAAGCUGAAGGAGAAACAUCGAGAGGCAGAAAAGUCUCACAGCAGAGGAAAGGACAGGGAAAAAGAAAAAGACAGAAGGGCCCGGAAGGAAGAGCUCCGGCAGACCGUGGCCCACCACAACCUGCUGGGCCAGGAGACACGCGACCGGCAGCUCCUGGAGCGGGCGGAGAGGAAAGGCCGCUCAGUAAGUAAAGUAAGAAGUGAAGAGAAAGAUGAAGACUCUGAAAGAGGAGAUGAAGAUAGAGAAAGAAGAUACCGAGAAAGAAAGCUGCAGUACGGAGACAGCAAGGACAACCCUCUCAAGUACUGGCUUUAUAAAGAAGAAGGCGAGAGGAGACACAGGAAGCCCAGAGAGCCAGAUCGAGACAACAAACACCGAGAAAAAAGCAGCACAAGGGAAAAAAGAGAGAAAUAUUCCAAAGAGAAAAGUAAUUCAUUCUCUGACAAAGGGGAAGAAAGACAUAAAGAAAAGCGACACAAAGAAGGUUUUCAUUUUGAUGAUGAGAGGCACCAAAGCAACGUGGAUAGAAAAGAGAAAUCGGCAAAAGAUGAGCCCAGGAAAAGGGAAUCCCAGAAUGGUGAACACAGAAAUCGAGGUGCAAGCUCAAAAAGAGAUGGGACCAGCAGCCAGCAUGCUGAGAAUUUAGUAAGGAAUCAUGGAAAAGAUAAAGAUUCAAGACGGAAGCAUGGCCACGAGGAAGGCUCUUCUGUGUGGUGGAAGCUGGACCAGAGGCCGGGAGGCGAGGAAACCGUGGUAAGGAGAGAAAUUGAAAAGGAAGAAACUGAUUUAGAAAAUGCUAGAGCUGAUGCAUAUACAGCCAGUUGUGAAGAUGAUUUUGAAGACUAUGAAGAUGACUUUGAGGUUUGUGAUGGUGAUGAUGAUGAAAGCAGUAAUGAACCUGAGUCAAGAGAAAAACUGGAAGAACUUCCUCUAGCUCAAAAAAAGGAAAUACAAGAAAUUCAAAGAGCUAUUAAUGCAGAAAAUGAAAGGAUUGGCGAGUUAUCUUUGAAACUGUUUCAGAAGCGAGGUAGAACAGAAUUUGAAAAGGAGCCCAGGACAGAUACAAACAGUUCCCCUUCCAGAGCCUCUGUUUGUGGAAUUUUUGUGGAUUUUGCCUCAGCUUCACACCGUCAAAAGAGUCGGACUCAGGCCCUUAAGCAAAAGAUGCGAAGUACAAAACUGCUUCGGCUCAUUGACUUAGAUUUUUCAUUUACUUUCUCUCUCUUGGAUCUACCACCAGUAAAUGAAUAUGACAUGUAUAUCAGAAACUUUGGGAAAAAAAAUACCAAGCAGGCAUAUGUUCAGUGUAACGAAGAUAAUGUUGAAAGAGACAUUCAAACGGAGGAAAUAGAGACCAGGGAAGUGUGGACCCAGCACCCGGGAGAAAGUACUGUUGUAUCUGGAGGCAGUGAACAAAGAGAUACCUCUGAUGCUGUAGUUAUGCCAAAGAUUGAUACUCCAAGGUUAUGUAGCUUUCUGCGGGCUGCUUGUCAGGUGAUGGCCGUUUUGCUGGAAGAGGAUCGCUUGGCAGCUGAACCCAGCUGGAAUCUUAGGGCUCAAGACAGGGCCCUGUAUUUUAGUGACAGCUCAUCUCAGCUGAACACCAGUCUACCAUUCCUUCAAAAUCGAAAAGUAUCCUCCUUGCACACCUCCCGAGUUCAGAGGCAGAUGGUGGUCUCCGUUCACGACUUACCCGAGAAGAGCUUUGUGCCCCUGCUGGACAGCAAAUACGUCCUCUGUGUGUGGGAUAUUUGGCAGCCUUCAGGGCCACAGAAAGUUCUGAUAUGUGAGUCCCAGGUCACGUGUUGCUGCUUGAGCCCUUUGAAAGCAUUUUUACUGUUUGCCGGAACAGCGCACGGCUCAGUUGUCGUCUGGGAUUUGAGAGAAGACUCAAGGCUGCAUUACUCUGUGACGCUGAGCGAUGGCUUCUGGACGUUCCGGACCGCCACGUUUUCCACCGAUGGAAUCCUUACCUCAGUAAACCACCGAAGCCCUCUUCAAGCAGUAGAACCUAUCUCAACGUCCGUCCACAAAAAGCAGAGCUUUGUGCUUUCACCCUUUUCUACUCAAGAAGAAAUGUCAGGUUUGUCCUUCCACAUCGCUUCCUUGGAUGAGAGUGGGGUUCUCAAUGUAUGGGUGGUUGUUGAAUUACCAAAGGCAGACAUCGCAGGUUCAAUAAGUGAUUUAGGUCUGAUGCCUGGAGGGAGGGUCAAGCUGGUACAUAGUGCUCUGAUCCAGUUGGGUGACAGUCUUUCCCAUAAAGGUAAUGAAUUUUGGGGCACUACACAAACACUGAAUGUUAAAUUUCUGCCUUCAGAUCCUAAUCACUUUAUUAUUGGCACAGACAUGGGUCUCAUAAGCCAUGGCACAAGACAAGAUUUGAGAGUGGCUCCCAAACUAUUCAAACCUCAGCAACAUGGUAUAAGACCAGUGAAAGUUAAUGUCAUUGAUUUUUCACCAUUUGGAGAACCAAUAUUUUUGGCCGGCUGUUCGGACGGAAGCAUCAGGCUGCACCAGCUGAGCUCCGCGUUUCCGCUCCUGCAGUGGGACAGCAGCACGGACAGCCAUGCGGUCACCGGCCUGCAGUGGUCCCCAACCAGGCCUGCCGUGUUCCUGGUGCAGGACGACACAUCCAACAUCUACAUCUGGGACCUCCUCCAGAGCGAUCUGGGUCCUGUCGCCAAACAGCAGGUCUCCCCCAACAGGCUGGUGGCCAUGGCUGCGGUGGGUGAGCCUGAGAAGGCUGGUGGCAGCUUCCUGGCCCUGGUGCUGGCCAGGGCGUCUGGCUCCAUCGACAUCCAGCACCUGAAGAGGCGGUGGGCGGCCCCGGAGGUGGACGAGUGCAACAGGCUGCGUCUGCUUUUGCAGGAAGCCCUGUGGCCAGAGGGAAAACUGCACAAGUAGCGGGUGUGGCUGAGAGGACCGCGUUUCUGUAAUGACCCAGAUUUAAAAGACAUAAGGUGGAAUUCAGCAUCAAGGCGCCCCGUGUUUCGUGUCUGGUCAGCUGCCCUCUGCUUUCCGCAGUACCUCAUGGCUGUGCCCUCGCACAGUAGCGGAGGACAGAAAGGCCCUGGGGCCUUCAGCCUCUCUGCUGACAGCACCGAUCCAUUCACUAGGGCUCUGCGUCUCAAAGGGCCCUGCCCCUUAACAGCAUCACCCUUGUGCUUAAGUUCCAGGCUUUGAAUGUUGGAGGGACACACACAUUCAAACCAUAGCACAAAGACAGGAGAGUUCUGGGGUGAGGACAGGAAAAUCCCAGAAUGUGUCACAAACACCCAUCCCUCUGUCCCAUCACCCUCCUAGAAUGUUCCCAGCACCGUUGGCCAUCGAUGGGUCUGUGAGGUGAACGGAUGGGCACAGUUAGGUCUUCUCACUGGGGCACAAGAUCACCUCCGCUUACUUGUCUUAGACCUGGAAGGUGUCUGGGAGGGACCCACCAGACCGGCUGUGACGCUGCAGACACAGCCCCCUCCCCAACGGCAGGGCUGCACGUCUCGCGUGGGCCUCUCCAGCCACCCGAGCAACCGCCAGCCUUUCUUUGCUUUUUAAUCAUUGAUUUGAAACUGUUGGCCGCUGAAUUCCAGGUGCCUGCUACAGCGCCUGCUGUGUCAGUAGAGUCUUAGCCAAUCCUCAUUCAACAAAUGGCUGGAAUUUGUUCAUCUUCCGUCUGCAUCUUCAUGGAACUCAGGGUCACAGUCACGUGGGGAAGGAAGUGGACAGGCACGCGGCCUCUCUCUGCAUCUUCGCGGAACCCAGGUUCACAGUUGCGUGGAAAGGAAGUGGAGUGGACACACGGCCUCUCGAGUCCACACCCACUCACCGUCCUUGCUGCUGUUUUGCAACCCGCUUGAUGAUUGGUCUAGAAGUUUUGAGACUGAGACGGAGUUUCGCUCUCCUUGUCUAGGCUGGAGUGCAAUGGCGCAAUCUCGCCUCACCGCAACCUCCGCCUCCCAGGUUCAAGCGAUUCUUCUGCCUCAGCCUCCCAAGUAUCUGGGAUUACAGGCAUGUGCCACCACACCUGGCUAAUUUUGUAUUUUUAGUAGAGAUGGGGUUUCUCCAUGUUGAUCAGGCUGGUCUCGAACUCCCAACCUCAGGUGAUCUGCCUGCCUCGGCCUCCCAAAGUGCUGGGAUUACAGGCAUGAGCCACCGUGCCCAGCCAAGUCGAGCGUUUUUAAAAUUUUAUUUAUUUUUGAGACAGAGUCUCACUCUGGUGUGAUCUUGGCUCACUGCAGCCUCUGCCUCCCAGGUUCAAGUGAUUCUCGUGCUCCAGCCUCCCAAGUACCUGGGAUGACAGGUGUGCACCACCACACUCGGCUGAUUUUUGUAUUUUUAAUAGAGAUGGGGUUUUGCCAUGUUGGGCAGGCUGGUUCUUGAACUCCUGACCUCAAGUGAUCUGCCCACCUUGGCCUCCCGAAGUGCUGGGAUUCCAGGUAUGAGCCACUGUGCCUGGCCUAAGAUUCCAGGUGUGAGCACCAGGACCAGCCUCUAUAUGAUUCCAGGUGUUCUAUAUGAUUCCAGGUGUGAUAUACUGCACGGGGACCAGCCUCUAUACGAUUCCAGGUGUUCUAUAUGAUUCCAGGUGUGAUAUACUGCACGGGGACCAGCCUCUAUACGAUUCCAGGUGUUCUAUAUGAUUCCAGGUGUGAUAUACUGCACGGGGACCAGCCUCUAUACGAUUCCAGGUGUUCUAUAUGAUUCCAGGUGUGAUAUACUGCACGGGGACCAGCCUCUAUACGAUUCCAGGUGUUCUAUAUGAUUCCAGGUGUGAUAUACUGCACCGGGACCAGCCUCUAUAUGAUUCCAGGUGUUCUAUAUGAUUCCAGGUGUGAUAUACUGCAUGGGGACCAGCCUCUAUACAAUUCCAGGUGUUCUAUAUGAUUCCAGGUGUGAUAUACUGCACCGGGACCAGCCUCUAUAUGAUUCCAGGUGUUCUAUAUGAUUCCAGGUGUGAUAUACUGCACCGGGACCAGCCUCUAUACGAUUCCAGGUGUUCUAUAUGAUUCCAGGUGUGAUAUACUGCACCGGGACCAGCCUCUAUAUGAUUCCAGGUGUGAGCACCGUGCCUGGCCUAUAUAUGAUUCCAGUUGUGAGCUACUGAAUCUGGCCCAGCCCAUCUGAUCUUGCAUGUUGUCCACGUUUUCCAUCACAGCCUUUAAUGUGUCAGUCAUAGUUAUUUAAAAUCCCCUUUCAAAUAGUUCCAACAUCUGAGUCAUAUCUGUGUCUUGUUCUGAUGGUUGUUUUGUCUCUUGGGAAUGUGGUUUUAUUCUUGCUUUUUUCUGUGUUACUUAAGCAUUUUGGUUGAAUGCUGGACCUGUUUUAUGGACAGUAGAGAGGGAGGUAAAUCAUUGUCUUUUAUUUUUUGGCCUGGAUGUGGCUGUGCCUUUCCUUCUACUUGGCAGGGACCCUGCCCCCAUCAUCAGGCACAGCUGGGAUCCUGGCAGGUCCCUGGGCGAUGGCACCAAGCCAGGUCUCAAAGGACAAGUGGGAGUGAAGCAAAGACGGGCAGGGAGUCUGCGAGAGGCACAGGGAGACGGGGUCCCCAGCCAGGCCUGGAGGUGCAGGUGCUGGGAGCGUGAGCUGGAGGCCCAGGGCCACAAGGAGAGACUGGGCGUGUUCCUACCAGCCACAGGAAGGUGCUGGAGCCCCAGGGCAUGCUGGCCUCUGUCCUGGCACCUGUGUGGGAGGUACACAGUUUGGGGAGUGCUUGGGUACUGAGAGGUGUCAAGUGAGAGGGCAGGGAGCGGAGAAGUGAACUGGUGGUUCUUCCCGGGCUCCUCUGAGUCUUCACCCCUCUAACUCCCUCUGGGGCUCAGCUGGCAUUGGGGCUGCCUGAGGCUGAGCUGGCACCGGUUCUGAGGAGCUGAAGGAGCAUGUUCUUCUCCAGUGUGUCCAUGGGAAGCUCCUCCUACCUCCCUGCAUCCAAGGCCUGGCCUUUGCCCUGGGUGCUGUGCCUCGGGGGACGUGAGGGCUUCCAGGGAGUUUUAGAAGGAUGUGUUCUGGAGCCUCCGUGUUGACACCCCCUGGGAAUAGAAUCGCCCUGGGUUGAGGCAUCCUCCAGACCCGCCUUUCCUGCUGCAAAGCUCUCACCACCACCAAACCUCACAGGCGUGCAUCACCCAUGGUGGGUGUGAAACUCAUGGGGCCCGAAGCCAUGGUACGUGGCAAGGUCGCGGUGGAAAUCCACGUGGGAAGAGGAGCAGAAGAAUCCACCAGCAGAAGAAGAGCCCAGAGGGGCUUCCGAGGAGGGCGCGGUAAACACGCACGCUGGCACCUGUGGGAUGCGCUAGAGUCACAUGUUGUGGGGGAUGGGAAUCCUCAAAGUGGGCAGGUUCCUCCCACCUUCUGUCCAGAGCAGUUUCUGAGGAGGUUCCCCAGUGAGCACGGGAGGAGCAGCUCCCAUCCCAGUGUGUCCCACGCAAGCUAAGGAUUCCAGGGAAAAAGUGGACAUCCCGCCUACCUGAAUUGGUAUUUUUAGCUUUUCUUCUCCAUGGCUAAGGGGGUGCAAGAAGCUUCCUAGGUCUGGGUUAGAGAAGGCCUCUUCCGUGGCUGAGAUGGGGUCUCCAAUGCCAGUUGGAUUUUUUGCUCUUUAAGGAGGUGGUUUUGGUGGGCUCUUUACAGCCUGACAGUAAAAGCAGAAAAGUAAACUAGAUACUUAAAAAAAUAUCCUAAGGGAAUAAGAAGGAGCCUUGAACUGUGGACAGGGAGAAAAGGAGGGUGAACCCCCAGCCGCAUCAUAAGACAGAAUCCGCACCUUCAUAUUGUGUGGACAGGGAGAAAAGGAGGGUGAACCCCCAGCCGCAUCGUAAGACAGAGUCCGCACCUUCAUAUUGUGUGGACAGGGAGAAAAGGAGGGUGAACCCCCAGCCGCGUCGUAAGACAGAAUCCGCACCUUCAUGUUGCACAGCGUGGGCUCAGCCUGAGGGGACUCUCCUCAGCACCCUUCAGGACCCACCGCACCUUCCACCUCCCAGGGUGCGCCCCCUUGAAACUCCGUGAGCCUCAGCGCCUGCUGUGCACGGUGGUGAGUCCAGAGCCCACUGCCUCGGGCUCCUGCCCAACCUCUGCCAGCAUCACGCUCCCCCAUCCUUCCCACCUGUGCAAUGCCAGCCCAGGUGGCAUCCGCACCCAUGGGCUAACAGGACAGGGCGCCCUGUGGCCAGACAGACCCUGGUGGGAAUUCUCAGCACCUGUAGCUGUUCCUACCCUCCUCGCCCACCUCUCCUGAAGUGAGUGACACUGAGCUGACCCACAUGUGGCUGCUCCUACCCUCCUCGCCCUCCUCUCCUAAAUUGAGUGACACUGAGAUGACCCACAUGUGGCUGCUCCUACCCUCCUCGCCCUCCUCUCCUGAAUUGAGUGACACUGAGCUGACCCACAUGUGGCUGUUCCUACCCUCCUCGCCCUCCUCUCCUGAAUUGAGUGACACUGAAUUCUAAAGUCUAAAGUCACUUGGCUUAUUUUACUUAUGCAGGUUAGAAUAAAGUAAUUCUCUUAAAUAUGAUGGUAUUAUUUAAAACUAUAAAGUGAGAUCAUAGUACAAGGUUCCUGCUCACAUGGUACUUUGAUACAAAUAUAACCUAUCAUAAUCCCAGCACUUUGGGAGGCCAAGACAGAGGGUUGCUUGAGCCCAGAGUUUGAGACCAGUCUGGGAAACAUGGCAAGACCCUAUCUCUACAAAUAAACAUAGCUGGGGGCGAAUGGUGGCACACACCUCUAGUCCCAGCUACUCAAGACGGCUGAGGUAGGAGAAUGGCUUGAGCUGGAGAGGUUGAGGCUGCAGAAAAGUAGCUUACAUAUGCGUGUGUGUAUAUAUAUGUUACAUGUGUGUGUAUGUUACAUAUAUGUGUAAUAAGUACCUGAUGCAUCAUAGGUUAUAUAUAUGUUAUAUAUAUGCCUACAAAUUAGCUUGGGGAAGGUGGUGAAUGGCAUAUAUGUUAUAUAUAUGCCUAAAAAUUAGCUUGGGGAAGGUGGUGAAUGGCAUAUACAUACAAGCAUACGUGUAUAUUUGUAUAAAACCUAUUGCUGUGGGUGGCUGUGUCCCCACCCAAAUGUCAUCUUGCAGCGUAUCUCCUGUAAUCCCCACGUGUUUUCAGAGGGAUCUGGUGGGAAGUAACUGAAUCGUGGGGGCAGGUUUUUCCUGUGCUGUUCUCGAGAUAGUGAGUAAGUCUCACGUGAUCUGGUGGUUUUAUUAAGGGCGGUUCCCCUGCACACACGCUCCUGUCUGCACCUUGGAAGACGUGCCUUUGCUUCUCCUUUGCCUUUGGCCAUGAUUGUGAGGCCUCCCCAGCCAUGUGGAACUGUGAGUCCAUUACACCUCUUUCCUUUAUGAAUUACCCCGUCUCCAGUAUGUCUUUAUAAGCAGUGUGUGAACAGACUAAUGCACCUAUCAUGCAUCAGAUACUUAUUAAGACCAGGGCAUUGUACAUAUAUUCUUUUGAAAAUUACAUUUAGUCUGGGUGUAGUGGCUCACACCUGUAAUCUCAGCACUUUGGGAGGCCAAGGUGGGCAGAUCACUUGAGUCUAGGAGCUCAAGACCAGCCUUUUGGGAAACAUAGAGAAACCCCAUCUCUCCUAAAAAUAUAAAAAUUAGAUGGGUGUGGAGGUGUGUGCCUGUGGUCCCAGCUACUUGGGAGGCUGAGGUGGGAGAAUUGCUUGAGCCCAGGAGGUGGAGCUUGCAGUGAGCUGAGCUCGUGCCAGUGCUCUCCAGCCUGGACGACAGAAUGAGACUCUCUCUCUAAAAAAAUUACACUUAUUUCCUACAUUCUAAAAGUAAUAUUUAUAUAUUGAAGACAACUGAAAUUAUAUUAAAAAUAAGUAAGAAAAAAUUAUAGUCUCACCAUCCAGAGAGAAUGCUCUGAAUAUUAUAGCAUUUCUAGAGUCUUUUUAAAGGUUUAUACACAUCAGGACAUGGAGAGUAAAUCUGUUUAUGACAUGAAAAUCCAGCUCAUUUCAUCCUUUCUGGUGGAAGGCGGUCCCUCCCCACACCCCCACCAUGCCCCGUCCCCCACAGGCCUAGACAAGCCCCACCUACUGUUAGUGUCUUUAGACAACCUUCUCCUCCCUCCAGAGAAAGUGCCCAUUCUAGUGGGACAGUAAGUCCUCCUUCACUGUUGGGUAUUUUGGGGUGAGUCUGGAGAGUGUGAUUUCAAGAUGUUUCUAAAGGCUCUGGUUUUUAAUAUAAAUCACUGAGGAUACCUGAAGAGGCACGUUGAAACAUUGUUGCUUCCUUUGUUUUCUUAAGAAAGAGACCAUCAAAUAAUGUUGGGGGAAGCAUCCCUGGACUUAACACUUUACUCUCUGUUCAUGCCGUCUCUGCCCAGGCUGGUGCAGGAGAGCUGCCGCUGGCUCUGGGCCACGCCUGCCCUUUGGCUGUUUCUCCUCCAGUGCUGAAGGAUCUGCAGGGAUCGCAGCUCUGACCCUGCCGCACCUCUGCCAUCCGCUGGCCCUGAACCGAGGCUUCAGUCUGCAUGGGGGCCAGAGCCUCCAACAGCUGAAUUAAUCGGCCCCCGAUUUGGAAAAAGGUCCCCUAGGUUUUCACAGAACAUGUCUACUAUUUCAGAGUCUUGGGGUAAUAGCCUAUAAUUCACCUCUGUUCAGUUCAACAAACACUCCCUAAGCAUCCACUUAUGAGCAGAUUUUGUGCUAAGAGCCAGGCGGUGGUUCUGGCGCUGCCUUGUGGGUAGGCGGAGACACCCAGCGCUAACAUAAAUCAGAGGUCCUGCCUGCAGGCGUAUUUUGUUUGACCCUCGUGAUGUUCUACUAACGUUUGAACUUGAAUAUUUUCCAUGGGACAGGGCCCGUGAGUUCCCCACAGCACUCCCCACACGCUGCUUUUUAAUGUCCUGCCCAGUUCCUGUAAGCUCCAGAGCUUGUGACCUCCAAAAUGGGCAGUGAUCACAGAAUAAACACAGCCCUGUGGGGAGCCACAAAGCUGGAGAAGCAUGAGGGAUGGGAAGGUCAAAGGCACAGAGACGAGAAGUAGAAAUGUGUGUCCUCAGCCUGGUGUCGCCCCAGGGGUUGGGCGAUCUGGCAGGUAUGGCGGAACCUCGCCUCUAAACUGUCUUGCAGAUUUUCUGUAAUAUUGGAAUAGGCCUUACUCAUAGUUGUGCUUGCCCAAUUUGGCCUGUCAUUGGAUUUGUGAAAUGGCCUUGAGGCAAUGGCUUAAAUGAUUUUUUAAAUCUGUUUUUCUCUCAUGUGAGCGUCUAGACCGGGAGGCGGCCAGAAGUGGCCGGCAGCUGUAGAGAGAGUUUUCCUGGGACACAGCCACGUGCCCUUGUCUCCAUCUUUCUGUGGCUGCGGCUGUAGGAUCCACAAGGCUAAAAUCCGCAUAAUCUGCCCCGUGCAGAAUACGUGUCCAGCACGACCCUGAAUCAGGGACUGUGUGGGGACCCAGGCCUCCUCCCUUCGUCUGGGAGCAGCUGUCCUCCCUGCACAGAGCUGAUGCCACCGUUCCUGGAGGGGCCACCUCUGGAAGGCUGCUGGUCACCACGUCCACAGUUAAAGCGGCAGCGGAGACAGCGUGGUGCUGAGGCUGCCAGGGAGGCUGGGAAGUGGCUCCGUAAGCGCCGGGGCCUGCACCGUAGGAGGAGGGGACCUGUGUCGGGAACCUUCCGGAAGCCAGGACGAGAGUACUCCCAUCCUGAGCGAACUGCUUUCUCCUUUUUGCUUAGGCUGUGAUGCCACAAAGCAAAUGAAGAGGCGAGAAGGCGACAGGGCUUGGAGCCGGAACCUCAGCUUGAUGCCCAGAUCUGUGGAGCAGCCCUGUCCCCAGGCAAGUCGCCGACUGCUUCAGAUCCCAGUGCCCGGUGGGGACUAUACGUGCCCUGCUUACCUCCCAGCCUGUGGCGUAAGUGAGACGGUGCGAGUGGAAAAGGCAACACAGAUAGGAAGUUUUAGGAAAAUGUUAGGCCUGAUCCCUGGGGCUGUGGGCAGCUGCCCAGGCUCUUCCUCUGUGUAGCUGUGGGCUGAGCUGUCCCUCUCUGUGGUUCGAGCAAGCGUGGCUGGACCAGGAUGGGCACGGGCAGGGCUCCCGUGAGCUGCCGUCCACACUCACCCGGCAUCGGGCUCCUUGGCGAUGACCAAGUUCUUUGUUGAUCUCUGUCCUCUCCAGCCCUGAACUGGGUCCUGAACACCCUGUUGUCUGUUGAUCUAUUUCGCUGCUGCUGCUGCCGGCCUGGGUCCCACCUUGCUCUCCACGACUUUAAUCACAUUCAGUGGAGGGUUUUGCCACCUUCUCUAAAUCUAAGAAAUCAGUGUUGUUGUAAAUAGACAUCCAAAAUGCAUGUUCUUCUUCUUUUCCUCAAGUCAUCCAGACUCACUGCACGUCAUUUUGGAGGGCGCCUUCCUUUCCGGAUUCCAACCUCUGCGGCGCUGGCCUCAGGCUCCAGGUCCCGGCUGCUGGGGCUGCUCCUGUGGGGCCGAUUCUGGCAGGACUGAGCCCACUGCUGCCCAACCCCUGGGAAGUGUGUUGUGGAUAGACUACUUCUUUGUUUGUUUUAUUCCUAUACAUUAGAAAUAUAGACUUACAUUCAUUGAAAAUUAACCAAAAAACCUACCAGGUAGCUCCUGAACAGAAUAUGAAAGUGGGUAGCAGCUGGAGGGGCGUGUUUGUGGUCCCCAGCGCGGGCUCUACGCCGGGGGCGCAUCCUUCCCACGUGCCACGGGCUAUGAGGAACCGGCCCCUCUUCCUCCCUAAUCUCAGCGAUUCCAGCUGGGCUGCAGCCACACGGAGCUCACCGGAGGCCACCUGGCAAGCCUCUGUGAUUAUCUGCUGCAGACGCCGAGGCCUGGAGUCCCUGAGCAUCGAGCCUCCCCGGGGAGCAAAUGCACUCGGCACUCGUGAGGUCCACCGCCAACUCCAUAACAGCGCUCCUAGGGAAAGAGCAGCGCCGGGCGUGUCACUUUUUACACAAGGGCUGUUUAGCUACGUGCUGUAUCAGACACAGGGGACCCCUCCCUGCCUGGGGGCUUUAAAUGCCACGCGCUGAGGCCAGCCCUUCCUGACGUGUCAGCCACUGCCCCCCAGUGUCUGUGGGACCCUGAGGGCCCCUCGGCCUUCCGCUCCGGGGAGCACCUGAAGUGCCUCAAUUUACUCACUAUCUGCCCGUCAGCCACAGCCACACCCUAGGUCGUGGAGAGGGUGUGGUCUGCACCUGCCCGUCAGCCACAGACACGCCCCAGGUCGUGGAGAGGGUGAGGUCUGCACCUGCCCGUCAGCCACAGACACGCCCCAGGUCGUGGAGAGGGUGUGGUCUGCACCUGCCCGUCAGCCACAGCCUCGUCCCUACUUGAUUUUCGUUGGUGUUGCUUAUGAGGUGCACCUUGAUUCCAGAAAUGUCAAAGCAGCAAAGCCGUGGUUGAAAAGCAGGCAGAAGCCUGUGCCGCGUGGGAGGCUCUGCAGCGCCCGCCCCACACCUGGCGUUCCAGCCACCUACCGACCAGAGAUCUGAAGCGUGCGCGUUCUCUCUUCCUCACCGUGGCCGGGGUCCUGUUCUGUGCGCGGAUCAGCUGCUGGUGUCUGCGGGAACACCGGCCCCCGGGCCACUGCGGAGCAGAACGGAUGCUCGUCCUGGCAUCUCCCCGUUUUUGUCUCUUGCCGACUUGUUCGGUAUCUUGGCUUCACACACUAGAAAGCUCACAAUAGUUCAGGGGUGGGGUUUAAAUACAUCUAAAUCCCACCUCCCCGCAAACUACACAUUAGUUAAAUAGAAUGAGUUUCUAGUUUUCAGCCAGAAAGGCUACCUUUGCCUCUUGAAUAAACGUUUACAGACAAAACUCCUCCUAUAA